rnacentral:rRNA from 1 species
UACGAAGGGGGCUAGCGUUGUUCGGAAUCACUGGGCGUAAAGCGCACGUAGGCGGAUCUUUAAGUCAGGGGUGAAAUCCCGAGGCUCAACCUCGGAACUGCCUUUGAUACUGGGGAUCUCGAGUCCGGGAGAGGUGAGUGGAACUGCGAGUGUAGAGGUGAAAUUCGUAGAUAUUCGCAAGAACACCAGUGGCGAAGGCGGCUCACUGGCCCGGAACUGACGCUGAGGUGCGAAAGCGUGGGGAGCAAGCAGG